CAUCUCUGAAGCGCAGGAAGCGCUCAGGAUCAUGGAUGAUCGGCCAAGCCAGGAAGGCGCUUCAAAGGAUUGAAAUGGUCAGGAAAAACCCGCUUCGGCGGGUUUUUU
rfam:Pseudomonas sp. 20_BN genome assembly, contig: CONTIG000001